rnacentral:rRNA from 1 species
UACGGAGGGUGCAAGCGUUAUCCGGAUUCACUGGGUUUAAAGGGUGCGUAGGUGGGCAAGUAAGUCAGUGGUGAAAUCUCCGGGCUUAACCCGGAAACUGCCAUUGAUACUAUUUGUCUUGAAUACUGUGGAGGUCAGCGGAAUAUGUCAUGUAGCGGUGAAAUGCUUAGAUAUGACAUAGAACACCAAUUGCGAAGGCAGCUGGCUACACAAAUAUUGACACUGAGGCACGAAAGUGUGGGGAUCAAACAGG